rnacentral:rRNA from 1 species
UGGCGGCACUAGCGCGGUGGUCCCACCUGACCCCAUGCCGAACUCAGAAGUGAAACGCCGUAGCGCCGAUGGUAGUGUGGGGUCUCCCAUGCGAGAGUAGGGAACUGCCAGGCA